UCCUCACCGCCGCCGCCCCCUCCCGAUCCCGUCCUCCGCCUCAUCCCCCUCCUCUCCUCGAUCCCAUCCCUCCCCUCAUCUCCCACAUCGCCGCCGCCACCCAUCCAAACCUCACCGGCCGGUGGCCUCUCCCUCUCCUCCCACCUUAGGCAGAGCCACCACCCAUCCAUCUCUCUCUCCUCCCACCUCAGGCGACCCCUCUUUCGCUCAUCUCUCCCUCUCCCACAAUGACCUACAGAUCCCGCUUGAUUCCGGCAUCCUCCAGCGUCGCCAAGCCUACCCACAGCUUCCUCUCGCUGCGCUCUUUCUUCACCACCGCGUCGAUUUGCUUUACCCCGCCUCAUGUGGUCGCCCGCAUCACUUCCUCCCACUAGGGUUUCGGUGGUGGGGUGGAUCUCUUCGUUGCGCAUGGCUGAGAUGAACAUCCUCGGCGGUGGUGGUGGCGCGCAUGAGAUCCUCCUCCAUGACAAGGCCGCCGCCGGAUCAGCUCCUCUCCACCAGUGGAUCCUCGCCUCUCCGACAAGGCCGCCACUGGAUCCCCUCAUCUUCGACAGCAACGCCUCCGGAUCCGCUCGUCCUCGACAACGAUGGCACCGAGGAGCACCAGGAGCUUCAGAUCAGGUUUCGCUAGUGAACAGAUGAUCAUGGCGUCAGUGGCUCAACGUCUCCCCUGGCAAAGGUGAUGUCUGAUUUCCAAAGACAACAGGUUGCUUUGUAGUGUAUGUUGCCUUGCCAUUCUCAAGGUAGGAUCGUGAAUUGGAAGCCUGCAAUUCCAAGCUUGAACUCCUAUGGCAACUGGGUCACUACCAAUAGAUUACUACUAAUUCUGUACGUGUUGUAUGGCUUGCCCCUUUUUGGAGUGGUUAAUUUCUUAGUCAGUCUAGUCUGCCUGUAUUGGAUUUGGUUGCCUGGUUGUGUAAAAAAGUUAGUGUGGGUCAUUGAAGGAGUGAGUGAUCUCAGUUCUGGUUGUGUCAAAAUUUUACUAUGUAUCAUGCUUAUUAUUUACUGCAUUGAGGCAUGUGGUUACCAGAAUUUGGGCAUGUAUGUAUAAUUUUUAGUCUCUUGAACGAAUAAUAAUUCUUUAGGUGUAAUGUGUCUGGUGUUACUACAUACAUUGUUGUACUAGUUGUAGCAGGAUAAUGAAUAAUAUUUCUUCAUUAACUAUGCCACCUGCAUCUUGUUGUACUAGUAAUAGUAGGAUAAUGCAUCUUGUUGUACUAAUGAGUGUUGUUAUGCCUUUCACAUUCAUUCAUUCAUUCUCUGAUUGUUCUAGGAGUCAGUCCUCAUUCAUUUGGUGCGGUGCGCCAUGGACGCGAUGGCCGCUUCAUCCCCUGCCCCGGCGCCAUGGAGUGGCUAGAGAUGGCUGUGGACGAUGACGCCCAUCGACAAGGGACGGCCUGGCCUGCCACCCUGAAGCCCUAACAAGGCGGCUGAGGAACCAGGAGGUUACUCAUACUGUCGCCCCUUAUGUGGACGCACCAGACCAGGCCUACUGCUGCUGCUGGGUAGAGUCCGGCCACACUGCUGCUUGAUCUGUAGAAGCUGUCGCCGUCGCCGCUGCCGCUGUUGCAGGUGGAACUGGAAGAAGCCCUCAUGGCUGCUGCACAUCCAAAGUGGAUCUAAUGUUGUUGAGGAUGCUGGUGUUGUGACAGAAGAUCAAGGAAGCCUCGAGAUGCACACCACAGUUUUAGUUGAUGUUGCUAGUUUGCCACCAUGUUUUGAAUAUUUGAUGUUGUUGAUGUUGCUAGUUUGCCACCGUGUAUAUGUUGUUGGCCAUGCAAACAUGCAUGUGAUGUUGUGAAUAUUUGAGCGAAUGAUUCUGUAUUUAAUAAUUUAAUCCAGAAUCAUUUAUUGUUUUC